GAUGAACGCUGGCGGCGUGCCUAGUACAUGCAAGUCGAGCGAACGGACGAGAAGCUUGCUUUUCUGAUGUUAGCGGCGGACGGGUGAGUAACACGUGGAUAACCUACCUAUAAGACUGGGAUAACUUCGGGAAACCGGAGCUAAUACCGGAUAAUAUUUUGAACCGCAUGGUUCAAAAGUGAAAGACGGUCUUGCUGUCACUUAUAGAUGGAUCCGCGCUGCAUUAGCUAGUUGGUAAGGUAACGGCUUACCAAGGCAACGAUGCAUAGCCGACCUGAGAGGGGGGUCGGCCACACUGGAACGAAGGCAAGGUCCAGACUCCUACGGGAGGAAGCAGUAGGGAAGCUUCCGGAAUGGGCGGCAGCCUGACGGGGCAACGCCGCGGGGGGGAUGAAGGUCUUCGGAUCGUAAAAAUCUGUUAUUAGGGAAGAACAUAUGUGUAAGUAACUGUGCACAUCUUGACGGUACCUAAUCAGAAAGCCACGGCUAACUACGUG
rnacentral:rRNA from 1 species